UCCAAAAUUCAGAUCUGACUCCUCUAAUAUGACUUAAUCCAUAAAGUUGAAACCUUUAAGCCUUUGCAUGGAUGUAAAGGUCACUUUGUUAUCAAAACACCUUUCCUCUUUCCAUAAUGAGACUAUAACUCAUGCAUGACACAUGUAACAACCCGAUAUUUCAACUCCUUGUAAUGACCUAAAAAGCCAAGUAUUGUAACCACCUUGGAGAUUAAUAAAAUUAACUUUGAUAAUAAAAUGCCCAAAAAGUAUCUAUUUAGAUUCCUACUAUGUUCAAUAUCUUUAAACCAGGAUCAUACGUAAAAUGGAUGCCCAAAUCCGGCUUCGUUUAUUGAAGAUAAGAUUUUUCCAAGUUCGGCUUAGCAGCAGACAGCUAAAAACUCGAAUCGGAGAUCGAGCGACUUUUGGCCGGAAUGACCUAAACGAGAAUCGAAGGUCUCGACAAUGGUAUUUCAGCGGUAAAAAGUCUGGCAAAAACCGACGUCAGAUAAAGAAGUUAUGAAUUUUUAAAGAAAUUCCUUAAUCAUGUCAUUUUAAUAAAUAAUAAUAAAAAUAAUUUCAUAAUUGCCAACGGAGUUUAAACGAAAGUUGUAGAGCAUAGUCUCACCUACGUGUGGGUAUAAAGACCAUCGAAAAUGGAGUUCGUAUGAGGAAGAUAUGAUUUUUUGAAGUUUAUUAAAUAAAUUAUAAUUAUAUUUAAAUCAAAAUGCUAGUAAUAUCCGAAGACGAGUCAGCGUCCUCAUCCGGGUUACGCGUUGCGUAGCCUCGUACGCCCCGCAUACGCGAGGGUCUUGGUCUCGGUCCGUCCACGUCGCCCCUAUGCGAUCUGUCCCAUCCGAGCUCCGGGGCAGUCGAGGACUCGCUCAUGCAUGACGCACGGGUACGCGCUGCGUACGCCCGUACGCCCCGCGUACCGAGCCCUCUCAGCCCCUAUAAAAGGGAUGCGAGGGUCUCCGGAAAACUUGCUCAUUUCUUCUCAUUUCUCUUGUGUUUUUCCUCGUUUUCCGUGCCCGUUCAAACCCGAAGCUCUGGUCUUUUUGCUCAAGUCCCGAGAGUCGAUUUUACUCCCGAGAUUCCCGAGAAUCCCGAGAAAAAUCCGUUUCCCGAGACGAAACUCUGCCCGGUUUUCCAUCUCGCUAUCUUCAAACUUUCAAGUGAGUUCAUACCCCUUNCCUUCAAACACACUUUAAAUAUAUUUUAAAUGCUUUUAUACUCUUUUCUGGGGGGAAUACAAGUAAACAUACGGUUAUUAUCGUGUAUUUCAUAAAAUUUCACUUACUCGUUUUUAUCAAAUGAAUCACUUGUGAUUUAGUACUACUAUGUGAAAACUCCUGUCAUACUUUGCAUGCACUGGAUUUGUACAAAGUAUUUAGUAAUUCCAUAGUAUCCUUCGUUGCUAAACCGUUUUAUACAUUCUAAAAAUUUAUGAUUUGUGCUUUGCCAAACAUUGUGAAAAAGGGUAAACUUUGCACACAAAACUAUUACUUUAAUACAGACUUAGUUGAGAAUCCAUGAGACACGUACAUCUUCAACUACUGCCUUUUUAUUGGAAGGUAUCGCUACAAGUACUGUCUAUAACCAUAGUCUCCCAUUCGGAGAACGUGCCAAAUGUGUAUAGAUCUAUACGGGAAGUCAUGAUCCCGCGCCCUGACUGUUAGUUACAGUGCUUCCUUUGGGGUGACAGUUUGUCAUAACGCUACGACUCCUGAAGAACGUCGCUACAGGCAUAUUAUGUUUAGUAUGGUUAUAAAACUCAUCGGAUACACAACUAUUAUAGUACUUCUGAUUGAUGAACGAGUAGCUAUUAAAACUAUUCUUUAUCUAACAAACUGAAAUCUUCUGAUAGGUUUAUUAUAUAAAGCUAUGUUUAAAAUAGCCUAAAGCAUGUGGAUUGCUUUCAACGUUUUUUGUCUUGGACAUUAAACAAACUAUUACUUUAGGAAAAUAAGGGAUUUUCCUGUAUACAAACCAAACAACUAUUAGGAAAAUAAGGGAUUAAUGCGCUGGCGUUAAUUAUAUCUUUUGAAAGAUGUUUAUGCAUUUAUCUUUUGAGCAUGGAAUGAAUACAAUGAUUUAAACAUUUUCAAAACCUUUAUAUAUGUAUGGUGGUGUGUACUUUCCUUUCUAUGAACUGUUAUGAUACUGAAUAUGACGUCCUCCGCCCCCGAACGUUUCCGCCGUUCUGGUUUGGGGGUGUGACAGAUUGGUAUCAGAGCUUUGUUUAUAGGGAAUUAAGUAUAUCAAAACCAUUUCUUUUUGAUAUACAACUAUAAACUCAACUGGGCAAAAACACUCUGAGAAGAAUCAUACUUUUGAAAUUAAAUUUAAAUAGUUUUUAAAGUAGGCAUGCACUCAUUUCACACUAAUAACAUUUUCAUAUCGGAUAAUUUUAGAAGUAUUAUAAAUAAAUUUUGCAGUACAGGUGCGCCUUGGGACAUGUAAUCGGAACUGGGAAGAAUAUAGCCUGAUCAACUAUAUUUGUCCGAGAGUCGACUAACAUGUGCCAAGGAGUGUCUGCAGUGGACAACAAUUUUAAAACUUACCAAAAGCACAUCAUUACAUAAUACUAAGGGAGUUUUUGUGUUGUCAUCAACCAUUAAACUUAAGGGUAAAUUUCAUGUGCUCUAGCUUAUAGUAAAUUCUUAACCCUAUUCUCGUACAGACUCAAUGGCUGGAUUCCAUCACCCCAAUGACCCCUACUACCCCAACCAAGGUAAUGGAGGAUGGAUCGAAGAAGAUCCUNAGAAUUGGAUGAGGGAGAUGACUCUGGUACGGAUUCGGAGCCAGAAGUUAUCAAUCCACCGAUCCCACAAUCUCCCGUCCACGUGACGAACUUCCAAGGACCCACUCCUGUGUGGGGAAGUCACCUCAACCAUUGGAGCCGACAACAAAGCUUACGCCCUCCCUAUGGCAUGUGCCGAGACUUCUAUGAUGUCAGAGGCGGGGGAUAAGCAGACCGAGCACUUCCAGUCAUGGUUGGCAAACUAGCCAACCAGUGCUACCAAUCCUUAGUUCAAGCCAUCCGGAUCCGCGAGGUCAAUGUGGAAGUGCAAGAGCACACUUCCGAUAUCCGCCGUUUGGACAAGUUGCAAGGGUAUGGCCUAGACCGCACUAAUGCCAUCCAAGAACAAAUGAAUGCAGCAAUCGUAACAAUAGCGGAGAUAAGGGAACGACAAGCUGCGUUUGAUAGGCGCCUCAUGGAGUCAAAGCAGUCCGACACGGAGUCAAGCUCCAAGCGCAAACCACGCCGCAAGUAGUACUUGCCCGAUUCUCAAAUUUUGUUAUAAAUUAGGACUUCGGAUAAAAGUAUUAUUUUCUUUGAAAUUUUCUGUAAUCGGAGACCUUUAGAAAGGUCAAAAACUUUUGCCUAUGACUCAGAUGUAACACAACUAUAUGUUUAAUAUAUAUAGGGCAUAUCUCUUUCUUGUUUUAAUUAUGUGUAGUCCGUUCAAUCCAUCAGUACAUCUAUUCAAACGAUAUUUGUGAAUCAAGCUCAAAGCCCUGUGUUGGCCAAACUAAAUACUUAAACGAUUAAGGAGAGUUAAAUCAUUAUAAUUCAACUCUAAACUACCAAAACUUAUAAAUCUUUCAUUUUCUUUUUGGCAGCACGAUGCCUCCUCGCCCAAACCUAAGGCCCAGACCGGGCACGACACCACCUCCACCACCAACUUAUGAUCCAACCAUGGUCCAGGCUGCUAUCACAGCAGCAGUAACUGCAGCCCUCUCGCAAAUAAAUUCCAACGGAAAUGGAGGGGCAUGAAGCAGCACGAAUCAUUCCAAUCAUGGCACUGGUCGUGGUCAAGUAAGAGAAUGUACUUACAAGGAGUUCUCUAACGUUAAGCCAAGAACUUUUAAUGGAAUUGUGGGAGUCAUUGCACUAAUGCAAUGGUUCGAAAAGACCGAAACGGUCUUCAAGAUCUGCUCAUGCCAAGAAACAAGCAAAGUCAAGUUUGCUGCUUGCACCUUCAUUGACCGAGCCCUCACCUGGUGGAAAAGCCAUGUCAAUUCUGUGACUCUUACUGUCGCCAACGCCAUGAGUUGGGAAGAUCUGAAGGUUCUACUACUGGAAGAAUACUGCCCAAGGGGCGAGAUACAGAAACUUGAGCAAGGGCUUUGGAAUCUGAAGAUGAUUGGGUCUGAUCUAGUCGCCUACACAGCUAGGUUCAACGACCUCGCUACUUUGUGCCCUACCAUGGUCAACCCAGAAUCAAAGAAGGUCGAAAGGUACAUUUGGGAGUUGUCACCCCAGAUUCAAGGGCAUGUCCUAGCUUCCAACCCUAUUACCUACAACAGUGCAGAACGCCUGGCUCAGCGACUUAUCGACCACAGAGUAAAACAGGGUACCAUUGUAGCUACCGCCAAUCCAUCUAAAGAGGCACAGGGCCAGGGAAGGCCUUGGAACAAAAGAAGGGGGAAAACCAUACAGGAGAACCCCAAGAAACAACAAGUGGUAGCGACCCACGCUAUUACUGUACCUACCACCAUUGCUCCCACAAGUUCAUACAAUGGAAAACUUCCGAAAUGUAACCAGUGCAACUUCCACCACCACGGUCUCUGCCGUAACCUUCAAUGCACUAGGUGCAAUAGGAAGGGUCAUACAGCCCGCUAUUGCAAAGAUCCAACCCAACAAUCCGCCCCCACUACUAAUACCGGAGUAAGUCGCGCCUGCUUUGAGUGCGGAGACACGGGACACUACCGAAGGGACUGCCCGAAGGCAAACAAUAGGAAUACCGGCGGAAGGGGCCGAGUUUUCGCAAUGGGGCAAGAUGAAGCCAUUGCGGACCCUACUGUUGUUACGGGUAUGUUUCUUCUCGAUAACUCGUAUGCAUGCAUUUUGUUUGAUAGUGGAGCGGAAAGGAGUUUUGUGAGUCACGACUUUAAAGGCAUGCUAAAACCAAUACCACAAUCAUUAAGUGAACCAUUCAUAGUAGAAAUGGCCAACGGGAAAACCGAAGGCACUAAGGAGAUAUACUUAAACUGCACCCUAACUCUAAACGAUAAUCCCUUUUCAAUCAGCCUCAUGCCAGUCUCGAUUAAGAGUUUCGAUGUCAUCAUUGGCAUGGAUUCGCUGAGUUCUCAUCGUGCGGACAUUUUAUGUUACGAUAAGGCCGUUCGCCUUAAUCUGCCAACCGGCGAAACUUUCAUUGUCUUGGGCGACAAACCCAGUACCACUCUUCGUAUCAUCUCAAGUAUCCAAGCACAGAAGUGCCUACGCAAGGAGUGUCACGCGUUUCUGGCACAUGUUGUAGAUGUGAAACGCGAAGUCCAGGACGUCAAGGAUGUGCCCGACGUAUGCGAUUUUCCCGACGUUUUUCCCGAGGACCUUCCAGGAAUACCACCCGCAAGACAAGUCGAGUUCAGAAUCGAUCUGGUUCCCGGAGCUACCCCAGUAGCCAAAGCACCCUAUCGAUUAGCCCCGGCAGAGAUGCAGGAGCUAUCCAGCCAACUGAAUGAACUACUUGGAAAAGGAUUCGUCAGGCCGAGCUUCUCGCCAUGGGGAGCACCCGUGUUGUUCGUGAAAAAGAAGGAUGGAUCGUUCAGGAUGUGCAUCGAUUACCGAGAACUCAACAAACCUACCAUCAAAAACCGAUACCCCCUACCCCGAAUCGACGACUUAUUCGAUCAACUCCAAGGAGCCAACUACUUCUCCAAGAUCGAUCUGAGGUCGGGAUAUCACCAGCUGCGAGUCCUAGAGGGUGAUGUUCCCAAGACGGCCUUCCGAACGAGAUACGGACAUUACGAGUUCGUAGUGAUGCCGUUCGGACUAACCAAUGCCCCGGCCGUAUUCAUGGAUCUAAUGAAUCGGGUAUGUCGUCCAUUCUUGGAUAAAUUUGUGAUAGUAUUCAUAGACGACAUACUCAUUUAUUCAAAGAAUAAACAAGAACAUAGUCAGCACCUGAGACAAGUCUUAGAGACGUUACGGACUGAGAGACUUUAUGCAAAAUUCUCAAAAUGUGAGUUUCGGAUGAGACAGGUGGACUUCCUCGGUCUCGUGGUCAGCAAGGAAGGAAUCCACGUGGACCCCUUAAAAAUCAAGGCUAUCGAAAACUGGUCUGCACCAACUACACCAACUGAAAUUCGCCAGUUUCUAGGUCUUGUUGGUUAUUAUCGGAGAUUCAUCCAGAAUUUCUCUAGCAUCGCAAAGCCUCUUACCGCUUUAACCCAGAAAGGUGUAACCUACAACUGGGGAGAAAAGCAAGAUGCUGCAUUUCAAACCUUGAAACAAGCCCUUUGCAGUGCACCUAUCCUUUCUCUUCCGGAAGGGACCGAAGAUUUUGUGGAGUAUUGCGACGCUUUGAAGCAAGGGUUGGGCUGUGUGCUAAUAAAGAGGGGAAAGGUUAUUGCAUAUGCCUCACGACAACUGAAAAAGCAUGAGGUCAAUUACAUCACUCAUGACUUAGAACUUGGAGCGGUGGUCUUCGCUCUUAAAAUCUGGAGGCACUACCUAUACGGUACCAAGUGCACUAUCUUUACAGACCACAAGAGCCUCCAACACAUCUUCGACCAGAAGGAGUUAAACAUGAGACAACGACGUUGGGUCGAAUUGCUCAACGACUACGAAUGUGAGAUUCGCUAUCAUCCGGGAAAGGCAAACGUCGUGGCCGAUGCCCUUAGUCGAAAGGAGUACUCUGGCCGAAGAGUGAAGUCAUUAGCCAUGUCGAUCCAUUCGCACCUGUCAGCGCAAGUCAAGGAAGCUCAAAUAGAGGCCUUGAAACCCGAAAACGUGACAGGUGAGGCCCUUAGGGGAAUGGACAAGAACUUAGAAAUCAAGAGUGACGGAGCACGCUACCUCAUGAACCGGAUCUGGACACCCAAGUUUGGUGGAUUCAGAGAGGUAGUUAUGAGCGAGGCACACAGGACUCCAUACUCCGUACACCCAGGGUCAGACAAGAUGUAUCUAGAUCUCAAGCAACUCUACUGGUGGCCAAACAUGAAAGCGGAGAUUGCUACAUAUGUGAGCAAGUGUUUGACUUGCGCCAAAAUAAAAAUAGAACACCAGAAACCCUCAGGCCUACUCCAACAACCUGAAAUACCUGAGUGGAAAUGGGAGCAGAUUUCCAUGGACUUCAUAACCAAACUGCCCAAAACUCAGAGUGGCCAAGAUACUAUUUGGGUAAUCGUCGACAGAUUAACCAAGUCAGCCCAUUUCUUACCGAUCAAGGAAACUGAUAGGAUGGAAAAACUAUCAAGAACCUACAUCCGGGAGAUCGUACGACUUCAUGGAGUACCGAUGUCCAUCAUCUCAGAUAGAGACAACAGAUUCACUUCCAGAUUCUGGCAAUCAUUGCAAAAAUCCAUGGGAACAAGGUUGGAUAUGAGUACAGCAUACCACCCACAAACUGACGGACAGAGUGAGAGGACGAUCCAAACCUUGGAAGACAUGUUGCAAGCAUGUGUAAUCGACUUUGGUAAGGCAUGGGAUGUUCACUUACCUUUGGUCGAGUUCUCUUAUAACAAUAGUUAUCAUACUAGUAUCAAGACUGCUCCAUUUGAAGCCCUUUACGGCCGUUAGUGCAGAUCACCCCUGUGCUGGACGGAAGUGGGCGACACGCAAUUGGCAAAAGGGCUAGUCCCUAAUAGCACCCUUACUGGUCUGGAGAUCAUCAGAGAAACGACUAAAAAGAUCGUGCAAAUACGAGAACGACUGAAGUCGUCAAGAGAUAGGAAAAAGAGCUAUGCCGACAAAAGAUGUAAGCCCUUGGAAUUCCAGAUUGGCGACCGUGUACUACUGAAGAUCUCACCCUGGAAGGGCAUGAUACGUUUUGGAAAGCAUGGAAAGCUAAAUCCUAGGUACGUUGGACCCUUCGAAAUCAUUUCAAGAGUUGGUCCAGUGGCCUACAAACUCCAACUUCCAAUUGAGCUUAACAAAGUACAUCCAGUAUUCCACGUAUCGAACCUAAAGAAGUGUUUGUCCGACAAAACACUUGUAAUUCCUCUCGAUGAAAUCGAACAAAAUGAAAAUCUUAACUUUGUGGAAGAACCCAUCGAGAUCAUGGAUAGGGAAGUCAAACGAACUAAACAGAGCCGCAUUCCAAUAGUAAAGGUUCGAUGGAAUUCUAAGAGAGGACCCGAGUUCACAUGGGAACGGGAAGACCAAAUGCAACAGAAAUAUCCGCACCUCUUCCUCAGUCCCUAAGGCUUCUCUUUUGUAUUAAAAUUUCGGGACGAAAUUCCCUCUAACGGGGGGAUGAUGUAACAACCCGAUAUUUCAACUCCUUGUAAUGACCUAAAAAGCCAAGUAUUGUAACCACCUUGGAGAUUAAUAAAAUUAACUUUGAUAAUAAAAUUCCCAAAAAGUAUCUAUUUAGAUUCCUACUAUGUUCAAUAUCAUUAAACCAGGAUCGUACGUAAAAUGGAUGCCCAAAUCCGGCUUCGUUUAUUGAAGAUAAGAUUUUUCCAAGUUCGGCUUAGCAGCAGACAACUAAAAACUCGAAUCGGAGGCCGAGCGACUUUUGGCCGGAAUGACCUAAACGAGAAUCGAAGGUCUCGACAAUGGUAUUUCAGCGGUAAAAAGUCUGGCAAAAACCGACGUCAGAUAAAGAAGUUAUGAAUUUUUAAAGAAAUUCCUUAAUCACAAUAUUUUAUAAAUAAAUAAUAAAAAUAAUUUCAUAAUUUGCCAACGGAGUCUAAACGAAAGUUGUAGAGCAUAGUCUCACCUACGCGUGGAUAUAAAGACCAUCGAAAACGGAGUUCGUAUGAGGAAGAUAUGAAUUUUUGAAGUUUAUUAAAUAAAUUAUAAUUAUAUUUAAAUCAAAAAUGCUAGUAAUAUCCGAAGAGGAGUCAGCGUCCUCAUCCGAGGUACGCGCCGCGUAACCCCGUACGCCCCGCGUACCCGAGGGCCUUGGCCUCGGACCGUCCACGUCGCCCCUCUACGAACCUACCG
rnacentral:lncRNA from 1 species